rnacentral:rRNA from 1 species
AUGAACGCUAGCUACAGGCUUAACACAUGCAAGUCGAGGGGCAGCAUGGUCUUAGCUUGCUAAGGCCGAUGGCGACCGGCGCACGGGUGAGUAACACGUAUCCAACCUGCCGUCUACUCUUGGACAGCCUUCUGAAAGGAAGAUUAAUACAAGAUGGCAUCAUGAGUCCGCAUGUUCACAUGAUUAAAGGUAUUCCGGUAGACGAUGGGGAUGCGUUCCAUUAGAUAGUAGGCGGGGUAACGGCCCACCUAGUCUUCGAUGGAUAGGGGUUCUGAGAGGAAGGUCCCCCACAUUGGAACUGAGACACGGUCCAAACUCCUACGGGAGGCAGCAGUGAGGAAUAUUGGUCAAUGGGCGAGAGCCUGAACCAGCCAAGUAGCGUGAAGGAUGACUGCCCUAUGGGUUGUAAACCUCUUUUAUAAAGGAAUAAAGUCGGGUAUGGAUACCCGUUUGCAUGUACUUUAUGAAUAAGGAUCGGCUAACUCCGUGCCAGCAGCCGCGGUAAUACGGAGGAUCCGAGCGUUAUCCGGAUUUAUUGGGUUUAAAGGGAGCGUAGAUGGAUGUUUAAGUCAGUUGUGAAAGUUUGCGGCUCAACCGUAAAAUUGCAGUUGAUACUGGAUAUCUUGAGUGCAGUUGAGGCAGGCGGAAUUCGUGGUGUAGCGGUGAAAUGCUUAGAUAUCACGAAGAACUCCGAUUGCGAAGGCAGCAUGAUAAGCUGCAACUGACAUUGAGGCUCGAAAGUGUGGGUAUCAAACAGGAUUAGAUACCCUGGUAGUCCACACGGUAAACGAUGAAUACUCGCUGUUUGCGAUAUACUGCAAGCGGCCAAGCGAAAGCGUUAAGUAUUCCACCUGGGGAGUACGCCGGCAACGGUGAAACUCAAAGGAAUUGACGGGGGCCCGCACAAGCGGAGGAACAUGUGGUUUAAUUCGAUGAUACGCGAGGAACCUUACCCGGGCUUAAAUUGCAGAUGAAUUACGGUGAAAGCCGUAAGCCGCAAGGCAUCUGUGAAGGUGCUGCAUGGUUGUCGUCAGCUCGUGCCGUGAGGUGUCGGCUUAAGUGCCAUAACGAGCGCAACCCUUGUUGUCAGUUACUAACAGGUUCCGCUGAGGACUCUGACAAGACUGCCAUCGUAAGAUGUGAGGAAGGUGGGGAUGACGUCAAAUCAGCACGGCCCUUACGUCCGGGGCUACACACGUGUUACAAUGGGGGGUACAGAGGGCCGCUACCACGCGAGUGGAUGCCAAUCCCCAAAACCUCUCUCAGUUCGGACUGGAGUCUGCAACCCGACUCCACGAAGCUGGAUUCGCUAGUAAUCGCGCAUCAGCCACGGCGCGGUGAAUACGUUCCCGGGCCUUGUACACACCGCCCGUCAAGCCAUGGGAGCCGGGGGUACCUGAAGUGCGUAACCGCGAGGAGCGCCCUAGGGUAAAACUGGUGACUGGGGCU